ACACACCCUCAUGCAUUACUGCACCACAGGCCCAAAAGCAGCUGGGGCGAUUUAUUGAGGUGUGGAAACUCUGAGUCUAUAAGCCAAAAUAAACUUUUCUCCUUUUAAAGUUAAAUGUCUCCAGUAUUUUCUUAAAUAUGGAAAAUUAGCCCAGAACAGUCAUAACUUAAACUGCUGUGAACACUCAGGGUACACAGUUUCACACAACUCUAGUUAUGUCAAUUAGAUAAAGUGCUAGAAAGGGAAUUUCUGAAUCUAUGAGUAUGUAGCUUUUUCAGACUUUUGUGUAGAGAAGCCCCCCCCCUACACCCAGUGUGAAAGAGAAGAGCGAUUCUCUUCGUCACUAACAACCGUUCUUUAAAACCUCUCUCAGGAUCGCUUCAUUUUUGCAGUGCCAGAAGUCAAACCGAGGACCUCAAACACGCUAAGCAAACAAUUACCCAACACCCUACACCUUUGACCUGGUUAUUUAUCAACUUUAAGUGAAUGAAUUGUGUCACAAAUGAGUCACUAUCAUCAUGUUUCUGAUGAAUGGAACAUUCUAGAAAAUGUCCUGGCCCAAGUGUAAGAUAUUCAGGAGUCGCUAAAGAUUCGGAAGAGACAGGUGAAGACAGAAAAGAGAGGGACCCCUUCCCUCUCAGCUAUGUUCGGGGUUGACUGAUUCCACCUCAACGACGCUGGUGUUCUACCCUCACCACGAUACUGAAGACAAUGCCCAGACCACAGUUCUGAGGAAGACAGAGUUCAUGGGGAUUUGGAUGGGAAUGGGAUGGAAGGACACUAACAUCUUUCACCUGAACAUCAGGGUGGCUGUGUCAUUGCUGCAGUGCCUGGACCAAGACCUGCCUUCGAGUUCCUGCCUUGAUGCCUUCAGCGAUGCACUGUGACUUGGAGUUGUAAGUAAACCUGAAUUGCUUAUGGUCGGGCAGUUUUAUCACAGCAACAAAAAUGAAAUGUGAACAGAGGGCGAAACUUGAGAAAUUCAACUGCCCUGAAAAGACCUCACGUGUCCCCUCCGUCUUUGCUUCUGAGACAAUGAAAUUGAAACAGCCUCAGAGACCAUGUAAAAGGAAGAUCAAGCAAGGGGCAAAAACAUUAUCCUGUUAUCCAGACCGAGAUCUUUUUGCAUUGAGAUCUGCCAAGUGCUUCUAGUCAAACUUCAAGCUCUGAAGCUUUCACUUAGGCUACGCCAAAUCGGGAGAAAUAGGAAGGUGGGAGAAAGGACUGCUCUGGACGAAUCAAAACAACACUCCACAGGAAGCAAGAACACCGGGAAACCAGACAAAGUCCACCGAUUUAUUAAAAGAACCUCUUGUUUCCACAACAUUCUAUGGAGUUAAGUCCAGGCUGAAAAGGAAGGCCCAUCCUCCCAGUAUGGCACAAAUGUGAACAAGCAGCCUCAAGGUCCUGAUGCCGCAGCUCCGAGCUUCCAAGAUGUCUGCCGUGAUUCCUCGGCCAUGACGAGUUGCAGCCUCCGAAAGCCUGAACUGAACCACAGUCUUCCUCUUUAGCGUUCCUUCGGCCGGGUAUUUGCUAUGGCAACCAGAGAAGUUUCCAGAACCUCAUGAGCCUUCCAACCUCGAAGUUCCCUGUAAGCAUAGAGGAGUAUUAACAACGCUUUAAAACCCGGCACGGAUUCCUGUUCCAGGCAAAAACUUGGCAAUUUCUUCUCAUGAAUCAUCUUCCAGUGGUGCUAUUCCACACCAGCAGAAGAAUUAUGUGAGGCCACAGUCUUGGCUGGCCUGUUCUCAAAGAAAACACACAGCCCCAAAUUCCAUGUGGUGUUUGAAUUGGCCCUCAGAUCCUGCACCCGGUCGGCCCGUGAAGCCGAGUGAAGACGGACUCUCAUGCGAAUGCUGUGGGGAUGUCUGUCUAGACUCAGCAGAAGGGAUGGCGCUGCCUAGAUGAUUGCAUCAUAAUACCCACCCCCAGAAUUCUGCUGUGCCCAUUCAUGGAGUGGAACAUGAGCCGAGCCUGUCCCACUUUUAACAAUUCAGCCAUCCAGCUAUUGUCUUCCCAGGUCUACUGCACACCAGAGGAAAGAAAGAGACAUCUAAGAGGUCGCAGUCAGCCAAGGGACACUGGGAAAAUACAGUAUGGACAAGUGGUGUCCCCAAGGCCAUGAGGAUUAGAAUGUGGAAAAUACCCAUCAACCUAACUCAGAUAAACACGGAAAAGGGGGCAUGACGCAGUCUCCAGCUUCAAGCCCUUUAUGUACACAUAGAAAAUACACAUCAGAACACACACACACACACACACACACACACAUGCACGCACACACACGCACACACACACAUUGAUCGUGCCAUGCUUUGCAGGACUUCGAUAAAGUUCAGACAAAGGAAAAUGGAAGACCAGCUACCUCAAAUGCCAUUCUCAGACUGGGUUCGGGGACACAUAAUUGUGAAUCCCAGAAUUCAGGAGGCCAAGGCAGGAGGCUCAGGAGACCGGGACCAGCCUGGUCUGCAUAGUGCAGCACCACUGAAGCAACAACAACCGAAGAUUCCCAUCACAGACAGGUAUGCACAAAAACCGUUUCCCUCUUCUUAAAUGACCUCAUCUCUUCACACAGCUUCCAAAAGGAGAGAAGCUUCCAUAUCACUUGUCACCAUCACAAAACGUAUGAAAACGAGAUGGGGCGCGGUAAGUUAUUUUGGCCCACGGGCUUCAAGUUGAAGUUGUGUAUUUCCCUAAGGGGACAAAAAUAGAACAUUUAUUAAAUGGCGAGUUAUUCGAAAACCAGCACAGGCCCCAGUUGUCUUUCAAAAGCUCUGAUUUACUGCAUAUGUCUCCCUUGAGGAAAGCCUUUUUUAAAAUGUUCAUUUCCAUUUUAAGAGACUCUGGGAUCUGAUCUGUUGGGAGGGUUCUCGCUGUCUCCCUGACUGGGGCUCCUCCGUACUUGAGGCAGAAUUGGGGCCUUGCUCUCAGGACCUGUAUCUCUCCAUAGCUUCCGCCUGGCGUCUGAACAUCAACACCUGAAAAUGCAUUGUCAUUCUAAUUAAUCUGAAGGUCCCACCAUCGGGUGACAUCUUUACACCCCAGUAAAAAGCCUGGAACAGUAGCUAAAAGGCAGAUGAGAUGUACUUUGGCGUUCUAACACCCCAAAGCCUGUGCCAGGUCAUUCCUUUCUAUGUUAAUCCAAAAUUUCAUAAUAAAUUGAAUCUUGUUGCUAAAGUAAACAUACAGUCAUAGAAAUCUUAGACUGUCUUUUGCAUCAGAAAACAUUCCAACCUAUGUUUUACUCUGUUUGGGUAACAGUGACACCUGUGGGGAACCAGCUGGUUAGAGCUGUUGAGUUCUAGACAAGUUGA
rnacentral:sRNA from 1 species